UUUUAAUGCUGCUAAUAUAGUCUUUAGAGCAAAUUUAAUUAAUGUGAUGGCUUCUCACUGCUCACAAGAAUGUUUUUUUUUUUUAUUUUGAAACAAAAGAGCCGCUGUUUUACUGGCACUCAUUAAGCCUGGCUGAGCCCGAGAAGGUGCUGAUGUCGCCCCCUGGGGUCCAGGCAGGCCGGCCCCUCUUUCAUGUGGGUGUUGGGUGUUCAUCUCCAUAAUCUGACUUUGUUGCCAGGAACCUGUGGCUGUAGGAGUACAUGGAUUUAAUCCCUUCGUCGGGGUGAUACUUUGUUAGACAAAGUCUCCCUGCAACUGAAGGGUAAAAGCAAUGGAGUCUGAGCCAAUAAUGGAGGACGGGCCCUGAAGGGAGAAGCCCAGAAUGCAGGCUUCAGCUUUCAGCAAAUGAAACGAAUGUUAUGGGGGGAAGAAGGCGGGGAGCAGCGUGAGGGAACAUCUAGGCGGGACCUUCUGUUCUCUGCUCUGCUGACAGUGUACCCAAGCUGAAGUUCGUCUGCACAAACAGCGUAGCGCAUAACUUAAAUUCAAAAAUGAACCAUUUCACAGGUGAACCGCAAACACGCACAGGGCGUGACAAAGAGAGACGCUGCAUGAGGAGGAACUUUGAAGCAACUAAAUCACAACUUGGCAACCAAGCUUGUUACGGUGAGGAGAGGGCAGCAGGCUGGGGGACACCCUGGACGAGAUGCCAACUGACCCCAGGGCACCCACCAGCACGCACAAUAUGCAAUUCAGAGACGCCAAUCAACCUAAAUGCGUGGCUUUAGGAGCCUGGAGAAAACCACAUGACACAGGGUUGCAGAGGUCUGGGGCUUAUUCCGGAAGCAAUGGGUGCAAGGCGGGGAAUAUCCCCGGAAGGGGCGCCAAUCCAUCACAGGCUGUCUCUCUUUAUUGAAAUGCUAAACAUUUUUUCUUUCCUUGCCUGCUGAUUUGGCGGUGGGGUCUGCUCCGCCAUUGGGGGGUCCCACCCCUCUCUGCGUUUGGCUUGGCACUCGCCGGCUGUCUUUCAGGCACCUUUAAAUAAUUGUGCAAUCAUAGCUCACACCGCUGUUGCCAGCUCCGAUCAAUCUCAUUACAGCUUCCACUCGCGCUCAUUUGCGAAGUUCCCUCUGCAGGCCCGGUAACCGGAGCACCGGCGAUUACACAGGAAUGGGGCUGGCUGAUGGGGCUGUUUUUUUUUUAAAAAAGGGGACUUUUUAAAAAUGACAUUUAACCCAGGCAAUGAUGCGUGUUUAGCCAAUCAGCUCUAAUCUGUUACUAAGGAAAUACAUGCAAUUCUUUCUCUUUUGCA